UGCCACUCUUUCGGUCUCUCUCUCUAAAACUGAACCUGGCUCUAGAUUACCUUGACUUGUGCUAAAUGUCACUAAUGUUUUCACUAUCGUAGAAGUUGCUAAGCUACUGGUAACGGUAACCAGGUCCGAACUUGCAUGAUGGGUGGAGGUUACCCUGUCGGCCGCUAAAUUUCCCGGACUUCCGUUGGCAGCACCGUUAGGAGCAUUGCUGCUGUCUGGACGUGUUAUUACGUCAUCACCAGUAGCCUCAUGAUGGGUGGAGGUUACCCUGUCGGCCGCUAAAUUUCCCGGAUUUCCGUUGACAGCACCGUUAGGAGCAUUGCUGCUGUCUGGCCGUGUUAUUAAGUCAUCACCAGUAGCCUCACCAUACCCAAGCCAUGUAUCAACUUCCGACCAAGGAUCCAUUGACAC
rnacentral:lncRNA from 1 species